rnacentral:rRNA from 1 species
GACGAACGCUGGCGGCGUGCUUAACACAUGCAAGUCGAACGGUAAGGCCCUUCGGGGUACACGAGUGGCGAACGGGUGAGUAACACGUGGGUGAUCUGCCCUGCACUUCGGGAUAAGCCUGGAAACUGGGUCUAAUACCGGAUAGGACCCUGGGAUGCAUGUCCUGGGGUGGAAAGCUUUUGCGGUGUGGGAUGGGCCCGCGGCCUAUCAGCUUGUUGGUGGGGUGAUGGCCUACCAAGGCGACGACGGGUAGCCGGCCUGGGAGGGUGACCGGCCACACUGGGACUGAGAUACGGCCCAGACUCCUACGGGAGGCAGCAGUGGGGAAUAUUGCUCAAUGGGCGCAAGCCUGAUGCAGCGACGCCGCGUGAGGGAUGACGGCCUUCGGGUUGUAAACCUCUUUCAGCACCGACGAAGCGCAAGUGACGGUAGGUGCAGAAGAAGGACCGGCCAACUACGUGCCAGCCGCCGCGGUAA